rnacentral:rRNA from 1 species
GACGAAACGCUGGCGGCGCGCUUAACACAUGCAAGUCGAACGGAGCACCCCUGAAUGAGGUUUCGGCCAAAGGAAGGGAAUGCUUAGUGGCGGACUGGUGAGUAAACGCGUGAGGAACCUGCCCUUCAGAGGGGGACAACAGUUGGAAACGACUGCUAAUACCGCAUGACACAUGAAUGGGGCAUCCUAUUGAUGUCAAAGAUUUUAAUCGCUGAAAGAUGGCCUCGCGUUCCCAUUAGCUAGUAGGCGGGGUAACGGCCCACCUAGGCGACGAUGGGUAGCCGGACUGAGAGGGUUGACCGGCCAC